rnacentral:lncRNA from 1 species
UCACGCGCACUCGACAGGUCAAGCUCCAUCGAGCACGCGCCGUCAGGCAACAGAGACCAAGUGUGUGGAAGAUCUGCUCUGCAAUGUGCCGCCACACUACCAGCUGUUCUUAUAUUCUCUUGUACGGUGACCAUCUCCAAAAGCAUGCGGACAAACAAAAGGAGCAACACAGUAGGAUGACUAAAGGACGCAACACUUCUGGACGGGAAUUACAUGUUCAAGAAUUGUUUUGAAAUGUACAAGGAAGAUAUUGGCAUUCUCCUUGCGCCAUCAGCUGUUCAACAUCUGCGAGCUGCAAAGGCUCUCCUGUAUGACAAGGAAGCAGUAGACGCGUCAUUCGCAAUGCUCAUUUUAUGUGCUUCCAAGGGAUGCAGCCAAAGGACGACCUGCGGAUGUGCGAGUCACGUUUAUAGGAGCUGCAAAAAAGAAUUAAA